AGCGCGGCUCGGCUUCCACUCCAAGAUGACUACACCAACGCAACGCCUCACAAUGGCUCGAGUGGUCCAGCUGGGGCGCAAUCGUGCACUUGUGCAGCCUAUGCAGCCGACGAG
rnacentral:misc_RNA from 1 species